UGGGGAAUUUUGCGCAAUGGGCGAAAGCCUGACGCAGCAACGCCGCGUGGGUGAUGAAGGUCUUCGGACUGUAAAACCCUGUCGUCAGGGACGAAGAUGUAUACGUUAAUAGCGUGUGCAUUUGACGGUACCUGGAGAGGAAGCCCCGGCUAACUCUGUGCCAGCAGCCGCGGUAAUACAGAGGGGGCAAGCGUUAUUCGGAAUUAUCGGGCGUAAAGGGCGCGUAGGCGGUUUUUUAAGUCAGAUGUGUAAUCCCCGAGCUUAACUUGGGAACUGCAUCUGAGACUGGAAGGCUAGAGUACUGGAGAGGGUGGUGGAAUUCCUCGUGUAGCGGUGAAAUGCGUAGAGAUGAGGAGGAACACCAGUGGCGAAGGCGGCCACCUGGACAGUAACUGACGCUGAGGCGCGAAAGUGUGGGUAGCAAACAGGAUUAGAUACCCUGGUAGUCCACGCUGUAAACGAUGAACACUUGGUGUGGAGGGAGUUGACCCCUUCCGUGCCGGAGCUAACGCGUUAAGUGUUCCGCCUGGGGAGUACGGUCGCAAGGCUG
rnacentral:rRNA from 1 species